CCCCACACUGGUACUGAGACACGGACCAGACUCCUACGGGAGGCAGCAGUGAGGAAUAUUGGUCAAUGGACGAAAGUCUGAACCAGCCAUGCCGCGUGAAGGAUGACGGCCCUACGGGUUGUAAACUUCUUUUGUAUAGGAAGAAACCCCUCUACGCGUAGAGGGUUGACGGUACUAUUCGAAUAAGCACCGACUAACUCCGUGCCAGCAGCCGCGGUAAUACGGAGGGUGCGAGCGUUAUCCGGAAUUAUUGGGUUUAAAGGGUGCGUAGGCGGAAAUUUAAGUCAGUGGUGAAAGCCUGCAGCUUAACUGUAGAAUUGCCAUUGAUACUGGAUUUCUUGAAUCUAAUAGAAGUAGGCGGAAUAUGACAUGUAGCGGUGAAAUGCUUAGAUAUGUCAUAGAACACCGAUAGCGAAGGCAGCUUACUAUGUUAGUAUUGACGCUAAUGCACGAAAGCGUGGGGAGCGAACAGGAUUAGAUACCCUGGUAGUCCACGCCGUAAACGAUGAUUACUCGCUAUUGGCGAUACACUGUCAGUGGCUAAGCGAAA
rnacentral:rRNA from 1 species